rnacentral:rRNA from 1 species
CUUACCAUGCAAAGUCGAACGAUGAUUAUCUAGCUUGCUAGAUAUGAUUAGUGGCGGACGCGCUUAGUAACAUUUAGGAAUCUGCCUAGUAGUGGGGGAUAGCUCGGGGAAACUCGAAUUAAUACCGCAUACGACCUACGGGUGAAAGGGGGCGCAAGCUCUUGCUAUUAGAUGAGCCUAAAUCAGAUUAGCUAGUUGGUGGGGUAAAGGCCCACCAAGGCGACGAUCUGUAACUGGUCUGAGAGGAUGAUCAGUCACACCGGAACUGAGACACGGUCCGGACUCCUACGGGAGGCAGCAGUGGGGAAUAUUGGACAAUGGGGGCAACCCUGAUCCAGCCAUGCCGCGUGUGUGAAGAAGGCCUUUUGGUUGUAAAGCACUUUAAGCAGGGAGGAGAGGCUAAUGGUUAAUACCCAUUAGAUUAGACGUUACCUGCAGAAUAAGCACCGGCUAACUCUGUGCCAGCAGCCGCGGUAAUACAGAGGGUGCGAGCGUUAAUCGGAAUUACUGGGCGUAAAGCGAGUGUAGGUGGCUCAUUAAGUCACAUGUGAAAUCCCCGGGCUUAACCUGGGAACUGCAUGUGAUACUGGUGGUGCUAGAAUAUGUGAGAGGGAAGUAGAAUUCCAGGUGUAGCGGUGAAAUGCGUAGAGAUCUGGAGGAAUACCGAUGGCGAAGGCAGCUUCCUGGCAUAAUAUUGACACUGAGAUUCGAAAGCGUGGGUAGCAAACAGGAUUAGAUACCCUGGUAGUCCACGCCGUAAACGAUGUCUACUAGCCGUUGGGGUCCUUGAGACUUUAGUGGCGCAGUUAACGCGAUAAGUAGACCGCCUGGGGAGUACGGCCGCAAGGUUAAAACUCAAAUGAAUUGACGGGGGCCCGCACAAGCGGUGGAGCAUGUGGUUUAAUUCGAUGCAACGCGAAGAACCUUACCUGGUCUUGACAUAGUGAGAAUCCUGCAGAGAUGCGGGAGUGCCUUCGGGAAUUCACAUACAGGUGCUGCAUGGCUGUCGUC